GACGAACGCUGGCGGCGUGCCUAAUACAUGCAAGUAGAACGCACAGUUUAUACCGUAGCUUGCUACACCAUAGACUGUGAGUUGCGAACGGGUGAGUAACGCGUAGGUAACCUGCCUGGUAGCGGGGGAUAACUAUUGGAAACGAUAGCUAAUACCGCAUAAUAUUGAUUAUUGCAUGGUAAUUAAUUGAAAGGUGCAAUUGCACCACUACCAGAUGGACCUGCGUUGUAUUAGCUAGUAGGUGAGGUAACGGCUCACCUAGGCGACGAUACAUAGCCGACCUGAGAGGGUGAUCGGCCACACUGGGACUGAGACACGGCCCAGACUCCUACGGGAGGCAGCAGUAGGGAAUCUUCGGCAAUGGACGAAAGUCUGACCGAGCAACGCCGCGUGAGUGAAGAAGGUUUUCGGAUCGUAAAGCUCUGUUGUAAGAGAAGAACGGGUGUGAGAGUGGAAAGUUCACACUGUGACGGUAUCUUACCAGAAAGGGACGGCUAACUACGUG
rnacentral:rRNA from 1 species